rnacentral:misc_RNA from 1 species
CAACCCUUAAGCCUAGCUUAGUGUUGGGAAUUUACAGUUAUGUAAUUCCUGAAAUACAACGGCGGAUCUGUGGUAUCCUCUGAGCGUAGUAAAUUAUUUCUCGCUUUUGUCAGGUGCUGCAGCUCCCAGCCGCUAAACCCCCAAUUUUUUGU